AUCGGUGCGCUAAUAAUCGAGGUAGUAUCACUUGGUUGACUUAAGAAAUUUUAACCUACACUGUUCCUUCUCUUCUUCGCAGCCUCGCGUUCUCCUUCUUCUUCCUUAUGCAAGAGUCGUUCUUCAUCUUCCUUGAGGACAUUGCUGCUUCGUCUUCCUCGCGUGCCAUUGUUGUUGCCUCUCGCCUCUGCCUCGUCGCUGCUGCCAACAUCUUCGUCGUCAUGCAAUUGCCUCCGCCUCCGCCUCACUCGUAGCACCUCUAGCUCUGUCGUCGCGCCUUUGUUGUGGUUGUGGCAGCCACGGUAAGUUGUCUUUGCUGUUGGGAGUGAAGAAGCUUCUCGAUAACAGCUCCUAGGGUUCUAAUCCACGAUUACCUUUUCAAGUUGGUUCUGAUCGGCGAUUCUGGCGUGGGGAAGUCCAACCUUCUCUCGUGCUUCACGCGGAACGAGUUCAAUUUGGAGUCCAAGUUUACCAUAAGAGUUGAGUUCGCCACCAAGAGUUUGAAUAUCGAUUCCAAGGUAAUCAAGGCUUAGAUAUGGGACACCGCUGGCCAAGAAAAGGUUGGUCUUUCAUCUCUCAAUUUAGGAAUAUGUCCAAAAUUGAGUACACUCAGCAUUGAAGCACCUUAUAUGGUUUCACUUGAGUUGAAAGGAUGUGGUGUACUAUCUGAAGCAUUCAUUAAUUGUCCACUCUUAACAUCUCUCGAUGCUUCCUUUUGCAGCCAACUAACUGAUGACUGCUUGUCUGCUACAACUGUCACAUGCCCACUGAUUGAGUCAUUGAUAUUGAUGUCAUGCCCAUCAAUUGGUUCAGACGGUCUUCGAUCUUUAUUUUGUCUUCCAAAGUUGAUUGUUCUUGACUUAUCAUACACUUUCUUGGUGAACUUGCAACCUGUUUUUGAUUCUUGUUUACAGCUAAAGGUUAGAGUUACCAUAGCAUGGUUUCUUAUUCUUGUACAUUCUUUUAAUCACGAGUAUUGCUAAUGAGAUGGGUUUAGAACAAUCAUAUCUUUUUUUAUAAUCAGUAAUGUAUACUGUUAUCAUGGUAUCUUAUUCCCAUAAUUCCAAUAUGUUAUUUCCCUUUCGUUUCAU